CGUUUGACGUUAGCUGCAGAAGAAGCACCGGCUAACUCCGUGUCAGCAGCCGCGGUAAUACGGAGGGUGCGAGCGUUAAUCGGAAUUACUGGGCGUAAAGCGCAUGCAGGUGGUUUGUUAAGUCAGAUGUGAAAGACCCGGGGCGUCAACCUCGGAAUAGCAUUUGAAACUGGCAGACUAGAGUACUGUAGAGGGGGGUAGGAAUUUCAGGUGUAGCGGUGAAAUGCGUAGAGAUCUGAAGGAAUACCGGUGGCGAAGGCGGCCCCCUCGGACAGAUACUGACACUCAGAUGCGAAAGCGUGGGGAGCAAACAGGAUUAGAUACCCUGGUAG
rnacentral:rRNA from 1 species